rnacentral:rRNA from 1 species
UACGUAGGGGGCGAGCGUUGUCCGGAGUUACUGGGCGUAAAGCGCACGCAGGCGGUCUGCUAAGUUUGGAGUGACAGUUGGAGGCUUAACUGCCAAAGUGCUUCGAAAACUGACAGACUUGAGGGCUUCAGAGGGACACGGAAUUCCGGGUGGAGUGGUGAAAUGCGUAGAGAUCCGGAGGAACACCAAAGGCGAAGGCAGUGUCCUGGGGAGUACCUGACGCUCAGGUGCGAAAGCGUGGGGAGCGAACAGG